AACGAACGCUGGCGGCAGGCUUAACACAUGCAAGUCGAGCGCCCCGCAAGGGGAGCGGCAGGCGGGUGAGUAACGCGUGGGAAUCUACCCAUCUCUACGGAAUAAUGCAUGGAAACGUGUGCUAAUACCGUAUACGUCCUUCGGGAGAAAGAUUUAUCGGAGAUGGAUGAGCCCGCGUUGGAUUAGCUAGUUGGUGGGGUAAAGGCCUACCAAGGCGACGAUCCAUAGCUGGUCUGAGAGGAUGAUCAGCCACACUGGGACUGAGACACGGCCCAGACUCCUACGGGAGGCAGCAGUGGGGAAUAUUGGACAAUGGGCGCAAGCCUGAUCCAGCCAUGCCGCGUGAGUGAUGAAGGCCCUAGGGUUGUAAAGCUCUUUCACCGGUGAAGAUAAUGACGGUAACCGGAGAAGAAGCCCCGGCUAACUUCGUGCCAGCCGCCGCCGUAAUAC
rnacentral:rRNA from 1 species